AACGAACGCUGGCGGCAUGCCUAACACAUGCGAGUCGAGCGAGAUCCUUCGGGGUCUAGUGGCGCACGGGUGCGUAACGCGUGGGAAUCUGCCCUUAGGUUCGGAAUAACAGUUAGAAAUGACUGCUAAUACCGGAUGAUGACGUUAAGUCCAAAGAUUUAUCGCCUGAGGAUGAGCCCGCGUAGGAUUAGCUAGUUGGUGUGGUAAAGGCGCACCAAGGCGACGAUCCUUAGCUGGUCUGAGAGGAUGAUCAGCCACACUGGGACUGAGACACGGCCCAGACUCCUACGGGAGGCAGCAGUGGGGAAUAUUGGACAAUGGGUGCAAGCCUGAUCCAGCAAUGCCGCGUGAGUGAUGAAGGCCUUAGGGUUGUAAAGCUCUUUUACCCGGGAUGAUAAUGACAGUACCGGGAGAAUAAGCCCCGGCUAACUCCGUG
rnacentral:rRNA from 1 species